rnacentral:lncRNA from 1 species
AUAUGGGACUAAAUCAAUUAAAUCCCUUGUUUAUUGAUGCAACAAAUUGUGAGUUUGCUAUAGCCCAUGUAAGGCUUAGCACAGUUGCAUUGUUUAGUUUUUCACCGGGACAAUAAUCUCCAUUCGCUAAUGUUAUCUAUUCUUGAAGUUAAACAUUAAAGUAAAAGUGGAAUGAGAAAGACAUCGAGAACUCAUGAAACAAUUACAACCACAAGUCAACUUGUAGAUAAAUUUAUUGUUGUAAUACUGUCUUUUUGAUGGAAAAAGGAAGGCAGCAUUUUUGCUUCCCCCC